AUUGAACGCUGGCGGCAGGCCUAACACAUGCAAGUCGAACGAGUGGCGGACGGGUGAGUAAUGUCUGGGAAACUGCCUGAUGGAGGGGGAUAACUACUGGAAACGGUAGCUAAUACCGCAUACCAUCAGAUGUGCCCAGAUGGGAUUAGCUUGUAGGGGGGGUAACGGCUCACCAAGGCGACGAUCCCUAGCUGGUCUGAGAGGAGGACCAGCCACACGGGAACGUAGACACGGUCCAGACUCCGACGGGGGGAAGCAGGGGGGAAUAUUGCACAAUGGGCGAAAGCCUGAUGCAGCCAGGCCGCGGGUAUGAAGAAGGCCUUCGGGUUGUAAAGUACUUUCAGCGGGGAGGCGUUACCCGCAGAAGAAGCACCGGCUAACUCCGUGCCAGCCGCCGCGGUAAUUC
rnacentral:rRNA from 1 species